UACGUAGGGGGCAAGCGUUUUCCGGAAUUAUUGGGCGUAAAGGGCGCGUAGGCGGGUAUUUAAGUCCGGUGUGAAAGAUCAGGGCUCAACCCUGAGAGUGCAUCGGAAACUGGGUAUCUUGAGGACAGGAGAGGAAAGUGGAAUUCCACGUGUAGCGGUGAAAUGCGUAGAUAUGUGGAGGAACACCAGUGGCGAAGGCGACUUUCUGGACUGUAACUGACGCUGAGGCGCGAAAGCGUGGGGAGCAAACAGG
rnacentral:rRNA from 1 species